rnacentral:pre_miRNA from 1 species
AGCCAAAAUGCUGGGUCAUAUAGUCAUUCAACAUCUUAAAGAACUGCUGAAUCAUUUUCCACAGGAGGUGCACCAUUUUAACAUUCCCACCAGCAAU